rnacentral:lncRNA from 1 species
CUUCAUCAAGGGGCAAAAUAAUCCUGAUUUUGGGCAUCAGGGUAUUGGACACCAUGGAAGGAGACCCAUUCACUUCUCUUACUGUUUCCACCUCCCUCUUACUAAUCCAACCACCUAUUCCACUUCUAGCGAGUUUUUGUAUUUUUGAACUAUUUUUUCCUUUCAUACCAUUUGAUUAGCACUUAAACAUUUUUCCUUGCUGGCAAGUUCAUUGCCUCUGUACAAGAUCUCCAAGGAGUAGUGGGACAUUAUUUCCAUCAUAUAUCAGCUUGCGAACAAAAAUGGCAAAUACCUCGAGCUCAUAGAAAAAAACAUCCACUUCAUCAAGCACAAACUUAUGGCCUUUCAAGGUAAAUUAUAAUUAUUUACCUCGAGUAUGCUGAGCUCCUCAAAUCAUAUGUACUAAUACGUGUUGUUUUGCAGAAUACUUUUUGAAGAAGAAGCCAUUAAAGCCCGAAAACCACUUUUUCUGCUUACAAGAAACAAAAUGAUCAAUUACAAAAGGAAAAUAAAGGUUGCCUAUCAAUGAUGUGGAAAAAGAAAAAGAACAAGACGAGAUAGUCAAGCCUUUGGACUAGAAAAAGAGAACCGAGGCCUUUGGUGCCUCUUCAUCCGGUCCUACCAUUGCUAUCAGGGCAAUUUGCCCACCUCCAUAUCAGAUACCCAUCUAAGUGAAAAUUUCUACAAAUUCUCCUCAUCCUCCUCUCAUUGCCCAGCAUUCUAGAAGCACUAUUUAGCUAAGCUUGCAUCCUAUGAAAAUGAAUGAGAUGAAGGAGCAUGAAUUUCAAGGCAAAAAAGUCUGUGAAUCCACCUUGAAACGACAAAGUAAAUUAUUUUUUCAGGGUCAAUAGUAAGGAGCUCGCAAAAGAUGCAACUACAAUACUUCUUUUGAAGAUACUAGGCUAUAGCGAUUUAUUACAAAUACUGCAUUGAGAGGUGGCAAAAUCAAGUUGCCUCUUACUAGGCUAAAAUCUCCUGUAGAUAAAUAAUGCUUGUGUGGCUCAUGGUCUAGGGAUUGGCCUCAUUACUCAAGAUUUGUUGCAUGAUUUUCAAAAUCGAAAUAAGCAUUGAUGGAUCGAUUAGAGGCCUCCUCUAAGCUGGAGGAAAAGUUGAUGAAAGUGAAGGCAUAAGGUAAAAACGUCGAGCUUGCUUAUGAAAACGUAGGUUAAGAUGAGUUGGAUUUUGUUGAGUUCAAGGUUAGUCGCUUUGAAAUAGAACUAUAUUAAGUUGAUCUCAAGUGUCUACCUUAGUCAAGAUGGUCAACUAAUCCAAUAAACACAAACGCCUCAUAGAUAAAACCCUGUAAGCCUUGAAAAAAGAAAAGAGAUAGAGAUGAGGCAGAUUGAGAGGCUCAAAAUGAAGAAAUUAAAUCUUUGAAGGCUAAUAUGGCUAUGGUAGGUGAAGUAGCAAUCAAGAACUAUGUUGAUAACUUUGAAAAGACUAAGAAUUAUGACAACUUUGCCAACUAUUGAGCCUUCAAAAAUCUUUGAAAGCUGAGGUGGCUCGGAUGAGGGAGGCUCAUUUGGAAUCGAAUAUCAACUUUUAGGAGGAUAAGUUUAGUAGGGGCCAAUUGAAGAUCACCCAAACAUCAAGGCCAAUGCCAAUGAAGCUCAUGAUGAGACGAGGCGACUAAGCUGAAGCAAUGAUUGUUGUAGAUGUAGUGGUACAUCCUUAGGCUACCUUUCUUUUUUCAUUUCACUAAACUUUUUGUAAAGGCUUGGGACUCCUCAUUUGUAAUCUAUCUUCCCAUCAAUGAAAAUUUUAUUUUCAAAGGGUUAUUGCUUCUUGCUUUUCCUUGUAUGCAUGCUACUUUUCUUUCAUGUUGUUGCUUCAUUGUAUAUCUAAUAGCACCUCAUCAUCAUUAAUUCAAACUUACAUGUUUAACUAUUUUGCACCACUCUGUUGAAGCGAAAAAUGGUUCAUUGCAUAGUAAAUGGUUCAUCCAUGUCAAAGGAUAAUGAGGUCUAUUUCGUAGGAUUUGAGGUGGGCUCUCUUUGGGAUGAUUCAUACCUCUCCUGUAAAAGCAACACAAACUUCCUUAUAUGAUGAUCAUUCAUCCAUGUUAAGAGAUAAUGAGGUCUACUUCGUAGGGUUCAAGGUAGGUUUUAUUUGGGAUGCUUUAUACCUCAUUUGUCAAAGUGAAAAGUACUUCCUUACAUGGUGAAUGGUUCAUCCAUGUUCAUGGAUGAUGAGGUCUACUUUGUAGGUUUCUAGUAAAAUCCCUCUGGGGUGCUGAGUGAGUACCUCUCUUGAAGCAGUAAAAACUUCUUUGAAUGGUGGAUGGUUCAUCCAUGUUAAAGGAUAAUGAGUUGUGCUUCAUGGUGUUCGAGGUGGGCUUCCUUUAGGAUGCUUCACUCCUCUUCUAUCAAAGCGACAGAGAUUUACUUGGAUAGUAGAUCAUUCAUCCAUGUUAAAGGAUAAUGAUCUUUAUAGGUCUAAGGCUCAUCACCUCGCACGAAAGAAUAUGGUUGAAGAUAUUGAUGAGAAAAUUUUAUAUAAAUUGGGAGAGAUCAUCUGGUCGGAAGGGUAAUGUGCUAUGUUCACUGAUAGUACUUACGAAAAUGCUCUAUAUUCCAAGGGAGAGGUUGUAUCUUUCCAUCCAUAUCUUCAAUUUUGUAUGUUCCAAGAUAUAGCUCUUCUUUGAUGCGAUAGAGACCCUUUCAAUUGUGGCCCAAUAUUUUUAUGCUUAGUUCUUUUGAGAAGAGGAAUAUCUUUCUCAAAACUAAGUCUUCUAUACAAUGUGGCAUCUUCUUCACUUUAGCAUUAUAGUAGUGGGGUCAUUUUUGUUGGUCUGAGAUGAGCUUUUCUUGUGAAUCAUGUCUCAUUUCUUCAAGAAAAUCGAAGCGUUCCUCAUCAACUCAUCGGAUGAAGUCGUUUUGGGUGACUUGGAUGAAGAUAACAUCGAGAAUUCUUGGGGAUAUGGCCUCGUUGGAUAUUUUGCCGGUAUGUUUCCGGGGAAAGUUGCAUUACUCCAUAUGUGUGAUUCAUGGAAGGUGAAUUACAAAUAUUUUGUUCACUCGAGUGGGUGGCUUGUCUUUAAAUUUGAAACGGACGUGGAUAGGCUUAGUGUCUUGCAUGGAGGCCCUCAUUUGGUGUAUGGUAGACCAUUAAUGCUAAAGGUUAUGCCUCGGUACUUUGAUUUUAAUGAUAAAGAUGUGAGUACGAUGCCGGUUUGGAUCAACUUGCGGGAUUACCUUUGGAAUUUUGGAACACGAAUGCAUUGGGAAAAAUUUUCUCCAAAGUAGGUAAACCCAUUUCGACCGAUAAGGUCACGGCAAGUAGAGGUAGACUAUCCUACGCAAGAGCACUAGUUGAAGUCGACGCAUCUAUUGAACUUGUGAGGGUGGUGAAGAUUAGGCUCCCAAAUGGAUCUUUGAGGGAGCAAGAUAUUCUUUUUGAACAUGAACCUAAAUUUUGUGGUUCUUGCAAAGUCUUUGGGCAUUCCUCUCUUGGUUGCAAGUAUAACAAAAAUACCGCAAGUGGUGAGACUUCAAAAUCCAGUGAGCUGGCUGGAAAAGGGCAGAAUACUCAGGCUGGGAAUUGUUCAAAUUUCCAGCAACCACCGGCUGAGACAGGUUCAGAAUCCUGUGAAAAAUCAGCCGAAAAUGUUGAUGGACAGAAUAGGGAACUCAACCGACUACAAGGGUAGCCUACUCUACAGCCAAAUAAUGAUGGUGCGGACGGGCAGGAAACACAAGCUGAAGUACAGGCAGAUGGCCCUUUUAUUGAGGUUGUCAACAGGAAAAAUGAAGCUGGUCGUCGGAAAAAUUCGACACAUGUUCACCGGCCCCAAGUGUCUACAAUUCAAGGCUGUCAUAUGAGAAAUUUGAAGGCUGAUUCUUCAUCUACCAUGACAGGGUCUUUCUCCAAAAAUGUAACCAAUGAAAAAUUAAAAGAUAUAGCCGACAAGGUCAGGAGAGCGAGGAAAUUAUCUGAAAAGAAGAAGGGUAUUUCCCUUGCUUCAUCAUCAUGAAGAUUGGCUUGUGGAAUAUUAGGGGCUUUAACCCGCCCCUCAAACAAAAUGGGGUUAAAGAAUUCAUGCGACGACAUGAGAUUGAUGUUAUGGGCAUCUUGGAAACAAAAUUGAAUGAUUUUAAGUUAUCCCGUAUUAUGAGGAAUAAAUUUGGUGGUCUAUCCUCUGCUAACAACUUUCGCCAUCAUAAAGCGGGUCGUAUUUUGGUUUUGUGGAAUUCCUUGAAGGCUGAAUUGGAAGUCUUGGACACUACGGCACAAGUUAUCCAUUGCUCAAUUACUUGCAAGGUAACUUCACGCACCUUCCUUGUUAGUUUUGUUUAUGCAUUCCAUACUAUUGUGAACCGCAGGCCUCUUUGGGAUAAUAUUGAGGAAUUUGGUCUCAAUUGCACCUUGCCAUGGUUGGCUUUGGGGGAUUUUAACAAUGUGCUCAAUUUUGAUGAGAAAAGUAAUGGGGCGGAUGUCACUCCGUAUGAGAUUAAAGAUUUUGAAAUGUGUUGCCAAAAUGUUGGACUUACGGAUAUGCGGUCAAUUGGUUGUUUCUACACUUGGAACAAUAAUUCUGUUUGGAGCAAAAUUGAUAGAGCCAUGGUAAAUGGAAAUUGGAUGCUUGAGAGUUA